ensembl:misc_RNA Metazoa_SRP Metazoan signal recognition particle RNA
GCUGGGCGUGGUGGUGCAUGCCUGUAGUCCCAGGUACUUGGGAAGCUGAGGUGGGAGGAUCGCUCGAGCCCAGGAGGCUGAGGCUGCAGUGAGUUAUGAUUGCAACACUGCACCCUAGUCUGGGCAACAGAGCAAGAUCCCAUCUCAA